rnacentral:rRNA from 1 species
GACGAACGCUGGCGGCGUGCCUAAUACAUGCAAGUCGAACGCACAGUUUAUACCGUAGCUUGCUACACCAUAGACUGUGAGUUGCGAACGGGUGAGUAACGCGUAGGUAACCUGCCUGGUAGCGGGGGAUAACUAUUGGAAACGAUAGCUAAUACCGCAUAAUAUUAAUUAUUGCAUGAUAAUUAAUUGAAAGGUGCAAUUGCACCACUACCAGAUGGACCUGCGUUGUAUUAGCUAGUAGGUGAGGUAACGGCUCAACUAGGCGACGAUACAUAGCCGACCUGGGAGGGGUAUCGGCCACACUGGGACUGGGACACGGCCCAGACUCCUAAGGGAGGCAGCAGUAGGGAAUCUUCGGGAAUGGACGAAAGGCUGACCGAGCAACGCCGCGUGAGGGAAGAAGGGUUUCGGAUCGUAAAGCUCUGUUGUAAGGGAAGAACGGGUGGGGGAGUGGAAAGUGCACACUGUGACGGUAUCUUACCAGAAAGGGACGGCUAACUACGUG